rnacentral:lncRNA from 1 species
GCCAGCACUCUCUCCCUGGGGUCUGCGCACGAGGCUCCCUCCCUCCCAUACCCCUGUCCUGGGGACCUCUCCCCCUCACCAGAUGCCUCCCCCACCGCACCCCCGCUUUCCGCCCCGCAGCUGGGGCCUUGGCUCCAGGUCCUCCCAGCAGCAUUUAUCUCCUCACCUGACUGCAGCUGCCGGAGGAGCUGGCCUAUCUCUCCUGGCAGACAGUUAGGUUCCACGAAAGUGGCUUCUGGUGGGACGGGUAUUUUGAUUCUGUCACAGGAGCUGGCCCAGGCCUUGUUCCUGAACCAAUGGAUAAAGGCAUUCAUGCUCUGAAAUUGACAAACUGCCACACCAGGGCAGCGGGGUUCUAGGGUUCAGGGGCGAGCAAAGCUGGACACCAUCCCAAGGAACCUAUAGAGCAGCAUGGGGGCAUUGAAUGGCAGCCUCCAAAACAGAGAUGUCCACGGUCUCAGCUCCGGAACCGUGAAUGGGACCUUAUUUGGAAAAAGGGUCUUUGCAGAUGCGAUUAAGGAUCUCAAGAUGAGAUCGUCCUGGAUUUAGGGCAGGCCCUAAUCCAAUGGCAGCUGCCUUUACAAGAGAAAGGCAAAGGCGGAUUGGAGAGAGAGAAGACAGCGUGAAGACGGGGGUGGAGAGUGCAGCGACGUGGCCACAAGCCGAGGAACACCUGGGGCCCCCAGAAGCUGGCAGAGGCAACAAGGACCCUCCCCUAGAACGUGGGGGUCGGGGGAGCGCAGCCCUGCCUGCACCUGGGCUUCACACGGGUCUGUGGUGAACUGUUUCCGAAGCUUCAGGGCUCAUACAUCCAGUAAGGAAACUGGAAUUACAGUCGCUCCCUGCGGCGAGGACCCAGCAGGAGAGCCCGGGCUGAGAGCGGGAAGGCGUCUCCAGGAGCCACACCGAGGGUUAUCAGCAGAAAACACACGCCUGAAUGGGCGUGUCGGUGGAGCUGAGCCUGUCGCCUCAUCCAGUGCCACGGAGGAGCCCUCGCGGUGUCUCCCUGCAGAGGUCACACUGGGGUCACAACUGAGGCUGCCUUGGGCAAGGGCCAACCGCAAGGCUGUUUCUGAAACCAUAAAGUACCAAGAGAAUGCCCUGUGUUACAAUUAAUAAAUAGCAUUGUUAAUC